rnacentral:rRNA from 1 species
GAUGAACGCUGGCGGCGUGCCUAAUACAUGCAAGUCGAGCGAACAGACGAGGAGCUUGCUCCUCUGACGUUAGCGGCGGACGGGUGAGUAACACGUGGAUAACCUACCUAUAAGACUGGGAUAACUUCGGGAAACCGGAGCUAAUUCCGGAUAAUAUAUUGAACCGCAUGGUUCAAUAGUGAAAGACGGUUUUGCUGUCACUUAUAGAUGGAUCCGCGCCGCAUUAGCUAGUUGGUAAGGUAACGGCUUACCAAGGCAACGAUGCGUAGCCGACCUGAGAGGGUGAUCGGCCACACUGGAACUGAGACACGGUCCAGACUCCUACGGGAGGCUGCAGUAGGGAAUCUUCCGCAAUGGGCGAAAGCCUGACGGAGCAACGCCGCGUGAGUGAUGAAGGUCUUCGGAUCGUAAAACUCUGUUAUUAGGGAAGAACAAAUGUGUAAGUAACUAUGCACGUCUUGACGGUACCUAAUCAGAAAGCCACGGCUAACUACGUG